GAUGAACGCUGGCGGCGUGCUUAACACAUGCAAGUCGAACGAUGAAGCCCAGCUUGCUGGGCGGAUUAGUGGCGAACGGGUGAGUAACACGUGAGUAACCUGCCCUUGACUCUGGGAUAAGCCCGGGAAACUGGGUCUAAUACCGGAUAGGAGCGCCUGUCGCAUGACGGGUGCUGGAAAGAUCUUUCGGUCAUGGAUGGACUCGCGGCCUAUCAGCUUGUUGGUGAGGUAACGGCUCACCAAGGCGACGACGGGUAGCCGGCCUGAGAGGGUGACCGGCCACACUGGGACUGAGACACGGCCAAGACCCAUACGGGAGGCAGCAGUGGGGAAUAUUGCACAAUGGGCGAAAGCCUGAUGCAGCGACGCCGCGUGAGGGAUGACGGCCUUCGGGUUGUAAACCUCUUUCAGCAGGGAAGAAGCGAAAGUGACGGGACCUGCAGAAGAAGCACCGGCUAACUACGU
rnacentral:rRNA from 1 species